AGUUUAAAUAUUUAAAGACAAUGUCUUAAAAUAACAGGCUUUUGUCUGUUCCUGUACUUUCCUGACAUUUGUUGUAACAUCAAUAUCUGUGUAGUACAAAUCCGUUUGUUUUCAACUAAAAUUUUUAAUUAAAAAAAAAUGUGGAAUUUUUCACGUUUUGCAGCUGAUUUCUUUAAUAGCGGUUUAAUUGAUUCUUACGAGGAAAAUGAUUCUGGUUUAGUUCCAUUUCAAGAAGAUUAUAAAUGUUAUUCAGUAACAUUUUUAGCAAGAGAUGAAAUGGAACGAGGGAACAAAAUUUUACUUCCAAGUUCUGCACUCGUAACUCUUUCUCGAAUGAAUGUAACGUGGCCUAUGAUUUUCUCAUUGGCCAAUCCAACGCUUGAUCGAGUAACACAUGGAGGUGUUUUAGAAUUCACAGCGGAAGAAGGUUGUUGUUAUUUGCCUUACUGGGUAAAAAACUCUUCUUCCUAAUCUAUUAAGUCUUUUAUAUAGGAAGAAGGUUAUGAAAAACCUUUUAUUAGGUGAAGGUGAUAUGAUAACUGUUUCUAAUACGACAUUACCUAAAGGGACUUAUGUUAAAAUACAACCAGUCACAAGUGAUUUUUUAGAUAUUUACGAUCAUCGUGAAGUACUUGAGCGUGCUUUAAGCCUAUUUUCUUGUUUAACAACUGGAGACAAUAUUGAAAUUCAUCAUCAAAAUAAGACUUUUGAAAUUGAAAUUGUGUGUAUGUAGGAAUGCCAACCUUCGCCUGCCAUUUCCAUUAUUGAAACGGAUGUUCAAGUGGAUUUCCUAGCUCCAAAAGAUUAUGUUGAGCCUAUUCGUCAAACGGAAGGAUUGGAAAAAAAAUUGAAAAGGAAAAAAGAGGAAGAGCUUGUUCCACAAACAAAUCCUCAAAGUACUUCAUCACUUAAUUUUGGUCAAAUCCUUACUUCAUCGAAUCUAACUCAAAAUACACUGAGUGAUACUUGCACUCCAAAACAAACGGGAACGUUAAGUUGUGAAAAGACCCCUCAACGUAUUCCCAAAGGCAUUCGGACAAAGUGUAAAGAAUAUUCCAAAUAUAUUCAAAGCAGUAGUUUUCUUAGUAAGACUGGGAAUCAUUCAUCCAACUCCUCCUCAUCCAUUGAGAACAAAUCAUCGCAGCCUAGUACAAAUUUCUCUCUGUUUAGUGGAGAAGGGAGGCAGUGUUAAUUAAUUUUUUUUAUAAAUUAAGUGUUUUGACUUUUCUUUUUUUUAUAACGGUAAACUUGUUUUCACAUAAAAACAGAUAAAAAAAAUCUGGACAAUAACUAAACCUUCCCUUUUAUUUCAUAACGUCACAGAAAGUCUAGCACACUGCUGAUCAGAAUUUAAGACGCUUAAACUGUUAAGCGGCCCAAUACAAGUUUAGGAGGCCCCUUCAUAAUGAUUCAAGACAACGCUGCUAAUUUUCCUCGUACUCCUAUUUUUUCGGCACCAGCUUCCUCAACAAUAACAAAAAUACAAAUAGCUUUAAAUAAUUUUUUAGUUCAGUUUCCUAAUUCUGUUUAUCAUAUUGUUGAGAGCGCUGGAAAAUGUGAAGAAAAUGAAACAAAUGAGGAAUCCAUGUUACGGUCAAAAAAUAUAAUUAAUGAAACAAGCGAUCAUUUAAGCUGUAUUUUGUCCUCCAUUACAGCAUUAAUACCAGAAUUACCUGAUUCAACACGUUCAGAGGAUUAUUAUAAAUUAAAAAUUAAACAACUCACUAAAGAAAACGAACUAUUAACAAAUGUUUUACACGACACUUUACAGGGUGUUAAAAAUCUUCAUCAACAUAUUGAAAAGGAAAUUUAUCUUUGUGCUGAUGCGUUAUGUGAUGGACCGCACGUUUAACAUUGGUUUCAGUUUGCAUCGCUCGACAAUGACAUAUGAACUCUCGUCGCGGUCUGCAUGUUAAACUCAUAUGAAAAUAACCAAAAUUUUUUUUUUAUUUCCGUUGAUUUUUAACGCCAUUGUUUAAAAAUGAAUUUCAUGUUUUAAAAUUUUUAGGUAGGUGAAUAAUUAAAGUACAAUGCAAAAAAAAUACUCUAUAGUUCAAUAAUCAAAGUUUUGAUAAUUCGAAAAAGGAGAAUACACUCAUAAGCUUAUGUGUUUUUAUAAUUUAUAUCUAGCUGCAAAUGGUUUUAAAAUUUUUCUUCAUUUUUGAAUCGUUUUUUCGAAUAUUUUCCCUACAUAUACGUCUCGUUUGUGAAAUCCAAUAAUGAUAGUUAAAUCAAGCAGGAAGAUUUCUUUCAAUAACUUAAAAAAAAAUAGAAUAAAACAUAUUAAAGUCAGAAUUGAAAGAGUGACUGUUAUAAUUUCUUGUCGCAUCCACUAUGAAGUCAAAAAUUAAACCAGUAAAAUGGCUUACAUUGAUAGUGUUAUAAGAGAGAGUUAGUUAGUUACAAGCAUGUAAAAAUGAGUAAUGAUAAGGAAAAUAAACAAAAAGAUAAUAAGGUUCGAGAAGCGUGACUUUUUUGAUAAGAAUCGAAAGCAUUGGUAGAUGUGUCGUCAUUAUAUGUUGGCGAUGGACCUGGUUUUACGAAACAGAAAUAAUACAUAUAGAGUUUUUUUUUAAUUCGAUAUGGUGUUAGUGCCCAAUGAUAUUUUCCUUGAAGACUGGCAAUGAAAGAAUCAUCUCCUGGACAAUUUGGUAAACCUAGAAUUUUAAAGGAUUUGUCUUUACAAAAACGACAGGCAGCAUAAGCGGAGAACGGAUCACAUACACCUUUAUGUUGAAUAUAAAAUUGACAAUUUGGUAUUGUAGCCCAUGCUUUUGGACCUAUGUUGACCGUCUUAUCAUUAUAAAGUUCAUCAUCUCGGUAUUCCCCUUGUGAUAGAGAGUUCUCCUGUAAAUGAUUAUGGCUAUGAAUAGAGCUUUUAUAGUCGUCAGUAAGAAGAUUUCGUUGAACACGUGUUUCCAAUUCGUAAUUGACAUGAUCUAAAGUGGAAGGUUGGCUGGCAUAAUUAUCUGACAACUUAUUUGCCAACAAAAAAGUAGUAGGUUUAUGAUCAAAGUUAAAAAAAAGCGGAAUGGUAACAAAAAAAAAACUAUUAAAAUUCAAUAAUACAAUAAAACGUUUUGUUAAUAACCAUGCGAUAAACAUUUUUUAAAUCUAAUGUCCAAAAAUAAUUUUUGAUUUUAGAAUACAGUUUUUGUUUCCUGAUUGAUUGAUUAAAUCUUAUCGGCCACUUGGCUUUUGGGUUUUAGUAUAGUUAACUUUUGUGUAUUUCAAAAAAUUUUUUUUCCCUUAUAGCCAAUUUUUUUUGUAUUGACAUAGUUUUGUUUGAAAUAUAAAAAAUGCACAUUUUUUUUAAUAAUAAAAUUAU